rnacentral:piRNA from 1 species
GAACACACGAAGACAGACACAAAUUCAC